rnacentral:rRNA from 1 species
AGUAGAGCGGCGGACGGGUGAGUAAUGCGUGAAUAACCUGCCCUUAGGACUGGGAUAACUUCGGGAAACUGGAGCUAAUACCGGAUAAGACCACGAUUUCUCAGGAUUUUGUGGUAAAAGGUGGCUGCUUGCAGCUAUCACCAAAGGAUGGGUUCACGUUCCAUCAGGUUGUUGGUGAGGUAAAGGCUCACCAAGCCUAAGACGGAUAGUUGGCCUUAGCGGGUGGCCAACCACACGGGGACUGAGACACGGCCCCGACUCCUACGGGAGGCAGCAGUGAGGAAUAUUGGGCAAUGGGCGCAAGCCUGACCCAGCGACGUCGCGUGGGGGAUGAAGGCCUUCGGGUCGUAAACCCUUGUCAUAGGGGAAGAUGGGUGUAUGUGCUAAUAUCACAUACACUUGACGGUACCCUAAAAGGAAGCCCCGGCUAACUCCGUGCCAGCAGCCGCGGUAAUACGGAGGGGGCAAGCGUUGCUCGGAAUUACUGGGCGUA